ACUUACCUGCAUUUCCUCCCCCUGCAAGUUAGCCCAAGCUUCCUUCCAUCCUCUUUCAUCCAAGCCCUCCUUUCUUUGCAAACAGCUGAUCCUCGUCAAGUUAAUGUCCCCAAAGAAGCCUACUUCGCACGGUGUGAUGUCUGCCUCCUAUGAAGUCAAGAGAAGUCUCAUCUAUAGUAAUAAUAUCCUACGUGACGGACAUUUGACCUCCCCCACUAACUGCCUAAAGAAUUUGACAUGGUGGCUCCUUCCUGGAACAGAUCUAUCAUGAUGGCUGUAAAGAUAAUGUAGGAUGGAGAUUACAAUAGGAAAGGCACCAACAAGCCCCUCUUAUCAGAAGUUCUGUCUCUCUGGCCACAUUCUCUGGAUGGCCCUGCAAGGAGUUGCCAGAUAAUCAUUUACAUUUAUAAGGGAUAUCUCCAUUUGUAAAGGUAUCUCCCUCUCUGUUUUGAGAAGAGAGGGGGAUGGCCUCAUUUCUAGAGGCUUAUCAAUGUGGAAGUUGAGGCCUUAAAGCUGCAUAACCUUACUCUUGUUUACUGUGCUUUAGUGGUAACCUCCUGUAACUGACUCCCCCCACCCCCAAAAUCCUCCUUUGUCAUUGGCUGAACAUGGUAUUUAAGACGAGAAUUUCUGCUAUUGUGUUGAGAAACGCAAUGUCCCUGCUUUCUCCCAUGUAUACAUGUUAUUAAACUUGGUAUUAUUUUCUCCUGCUAACCUCUCUUGUUAAUUAUUUGGCCAGCCAUAAGAACCUUAAGGAAAAGGGCAGAGGGAGAUUCCCCCUCUUCCCCCGACACGGGUGUUACUGUCUGUACUUCAUUGAUGAAGGGAAGAAUCUGUUGAGAGACUAUGGUCAUGAAGCUAGUUACUGGAAGAACUAACUGGGAAUGCUACCCAGGGCUCAGCUCUUUCCACUAUGCUCCACCUAGAACCUAGAAGAAACAUCCACUCACUUAAUCAAUCAACCGACACAUUGAUUAUUCCCCACAUUCCAGGCUCUACUAUGGGCACAUAUGCUCAUGCGGGGACAUACAAAAAACAGUAAGAUUUGUGUUGAGAUGCUGGAAACCAAAAGCAGGGAAAUGGACAUGCAAAUACAUAAUUGGAUUAUAGUGUGGUAGGUACCAUGUGAGCUCCUAGGAGGAAUGUCUAACUCUGCCUGGGUGAGGGAAGACUUAAACGGAUCCAUUUGAUCUGGGUUUUGAAAAAGAAAAAGCAUUUUUCUAGGAACAGAGCAGGGAAGGUUGCUAAAUGACAAGGCUGAUGGCUGAUACCUCCAAAGCUAAGCAACCUUGUUUUCUGCUCUAUUGCUGACUCCCCCAUCCCACCCAAGCCCCAGCAACUGGCUUAGGAAAUGGAGGAAUCAGUCCCAGGAACCCAGGCUUGCUUAGCUCAAAAGCAGUCAACGCAACAAGAAACCCACAGUGUGGAGCCAGGU